CUAAAACUGUGUUAAUAUAGCCAAAUAUAUUGUGAUUCAUAUUUUGGUCAUCAAGUGAUAUAUUGUGAAAUAAAUUUUGUGUGUAUAUUAUAUAUAUAUAUAUUUAUAUAUAAAUAAAUAUUUGAACCUGAGUUAUAGAGUAGGCUAAACACAUCAUGGUAAUGCUAGCCUUCUAAGGUUUUAAUUUCAAGACUAUGUGUGCCUAGCACUUUGCCUGACAUUAAAAAAUUGUGGUUAACACAUUUAAAAACAGUGAUCUAGUGUAAUUUUUUCCAUAAAGCUACAAGUUGAGUUAAAGGAAAAAAGUGGAUUUUUUAGAACAACACAUAACAGUUCAUGUGAUUUAUCAUACAAAUUUAUUAAACUGUACAUCAGUAAACAACCUAUUUUGGAGGUAGGAUAUCAUGAAAGAGUGUUGUACUGGUGGGAAUUUUCCAAAAGUGGAUUGGCAACACUGG